CUACGGGAUGCAGCAGUGGGGAAUAUUGGGCAAUGGGCGAAAGCCUGACCCAGCAACGCCGCGUGAAGGAAGAAGGCUUUCGGGUCGUAAACUUCUAUCCCAGGUGAAGAUAAUGACGGUAGCCUGGAAGGAAGCCCCGGCUAACUACGUGCCAGCAGCCGCGGUAAUACGUAGGGGGCAAGCGUUGUCCGGAAUGAUUGGGCGUAAAGGGCGCGUAGGCGGCCUUUUAAGUCCGAUGUGAAAGUCCUGCUUUUAAGGUGGGAAUUGCAUUGGAAACUGGAAGGCUUGAGUGCAGGAGAGGUAAGUGGAAUUCCCGGUGUAGCGGUGAAAUGCGUAGAGAUCGGGAGGAACACCAGUGGCGAAGGCGACUUACUGGACUGUAACUGACGCUGAGGCGCGAAAGUGUGGGGAGCAAACAGGAUUAGAUACCCCCGUAGUC
rnacentral:rRNA from 1 species